UAAAGGCCUUUCAUUGGGUUUUCAUUCUUAAUUUCAUUCCGAUUAACAUCUCAUCAUGUUAUUGAGUAAUCUUUUCCAUCCCAUAAUGUAUCAUAAUUUCUUGAUGUCUUUCUAUUGUCUCUUCAAUAACAGAAGGUUUCCCAAACCAUAUUGAAUUUAGCCUGCUAAUCAGGAAAAAAAACGCUCAUCCUUGCAUUAAUUAAUUCCUCUAUAUAAAAUGGCUAAUCCCAUCAGCAUCAGAUCCUUCCAAUGUCAUUUACUUUCUAUACUGUUAUUAUUUUUCGGUUCAUUCAUCAAAGGUUGCUAAACUUUUGGUUUCCAAAUCCUAUGAGAAGUUUGUGUUGUGGUUUUUGGACUGCCCUUCCUAAUAUUAAUUUUCCACAAUUUUGUUAAAAACGUUCAUUUGGUCUGUAAUGUAUCUCCGAUGUUUGCAACGUGUUUCUGAUAAAUUUUCUUUUCCAAUUUUCAAAUUCGGCCUAAAGAGGUAAUGACGCAAUUCACACACACCUCGAGACUUCUUCUUACAUCUCCAAGCAAGCAAACAAAAGAUCAAAACGAUGGCAAACCAGAUCAGAUGCAAUUUGACUGGAAAAGAUAUCUCUUCUUAUUCCAUGCUGGACAGCAAGCUCGGAUCGCCUACUGACCAGGAUGGAACCCUAAGAAAUCUCUUUGGACUUGCUAGAAUAUACCAUUAGAACCAGCACAAGCCAUAGACAGAGGCUGUGAAGCAGGCCAUUGCAAAAACCAACAUUAAGAUAAAUGAUGAUCAAGCUAAAUUGAUGUGUGUGGGUUCGUUGCAAUUCUCUUCACUCAAAAGAGAAAAUGUUGGAUGGAAAAGGAAACCUAUUCUUUUUGAAAGAAUUCAUGUAAAACAAGAUUGCUGCCAUACACAUCUUGGGUGCACAACACGAGACUCAGGAACUGAAGAACAGAUUGAUUUCUGCUGAAAUUGAGGUUUGUGCCUUUGGUGCACAACACGAGACUCACGAGCUGAAGAACAGAUUGAUUUCUUCCGAAAAAUUGAGGUUUGUGCCUUAAAGUCCAAGGCUAGGCAAGAUUGUUGUCAUAGAGAACUUGGGUGCAGAAUGUAGCAUAGCACGAAAAAGACAAGCUGAGGAACAUAGUGGGUUCUACUGAAAUUUAGGUUUCGGCCUUUACGGCCAAGGCUAAGCAUCAAGACACAUGAUAGAAAGGUAAAAUCCUUUGCUUGCAUUUUGCAUUUAUUUACUUUUUGUAAGAUUUUCCUAGGUGAAACUUAUUGAAUACAACAUCUCAUUCAUUGAAAGAUGAUAAGUUGACUUAUAAUGAUUGCCAAUCGUUGUUCAUUGUCCUUGAUGGAUUAGCUAUAUAUUAUAAAGAUGAUAAUUUAGUAGGUUACCGAGCACUGCAUCUAUGACGAAAAAUCAGUCAUCGGCUCAUAUACUAAUUGGGAUUGAACCAUGGUCUAAAAUAUG